AAAUAAACCUUAUUGCAGCGGUUAUCCUUUUUGGUGCACUAACCAAAAUGUUCCAACUAACCCCUCACAAAAAGAUAAUAGUGGAAAGAAGGACUGCCG
rfam:Pedobacter kyungheensis strain KACC 16221 contig022, whole genome shotgun sequence.